rnacentral:rRNA from 1 species
UGGGCAGUUUGACUGGGGCGGUCGCCUCCCAAAAGGUAACGGAGGCGCUCAAAGGUUCUCUCAGUACGGUCGGAAAUCGUACGUAGAGUGUAAAGGCAAAAGAGAGCUUGAUUGCAAGACAUACAGGUCGAGCAAGGAUGAAAAGCGGACUUAGUGAUCCGGUGGUUCUGCGUGGAAGGGCCAUCGCUCAACGGAUAAAAGCUACCCUGGGGAUAACAGGCUUAUCUCCCCCAAGAGUCCACAUCGACGGGGAGGUUUGGCACCUCGAUGUCGGC